GCUCCGCUGUGGAAAUUGCAACAGAAAGAAGACAGGAAUAGACUACCUUUAUUCAUAUACUUGGGAUUUGUCUUGUCACCGUGUAUGUUUUAUUCUAUUUGAAUUGUAAGCUUUUAUUUGGAGCUAAUGUAUUAUAUACUCUUGCCGUGCCACCUGUAUCCACAGGUCUAACCAGGACAAACUUGUGAGAAUUAGUAACAACUGAACCUUAGUCUCUCUCUAGUCUCUGCCUGCUGUCUCACUAGUGGAGCUGUCUCCUCUCCAGUUCUUGAGUUUCUGCAUUGCAUUUCUUCACCUCUGAGUCUGCUCUGCUCUCUGGCUCCUUGUCUUUCAGGCCAGUGGAUGACAGUGUAUCUUUUCCUUAUCUUUCAGGCCAGUGGAUGGCAGUGUAUCUCCAGUGUACAAGGUCCAGGGCUGUGCUCACCACCUGACCCUACCUGUCCUUGGGGGUUGGAGGUGAGAUGGCUCGGAAUCAAAGACACAGAUCUGGAAGCAGGUGGUCAGUGGCAGAGCAAUCACCAUGCUCAAGACCCUGGGAUAAGAACCUAAUACUGAACAAGAAUAAACAACAACAACAAAACCCCUAAAGCGAAAGAACUACUUCUAGUCUUUAGAAAACUUCCUACUCUCAAGAGUAACAUUCCAAGGAAAG